UGGGGAAUAUUGCGCAAUGGGCGAAAGCCUGACGCAGCGACGCCGCGUGAGGGAUGAAGGUUUUCGGAUCGUAAACCUCUGUCAGAAGGGAAGAAACCGCACUGUGCUAAUCAGCAGUGCCUUGACGGUACCUUAAAAGGAAGCACCGGCUAACUCCGUGCCAGCAGCCGCGGUAAUACGGAGGGUGCAAGCGUUAAUCGGAAUUACUGGGCGUAAAGCGCACGUAGGCUGCUUUGUAAGUCAGGGGUGAAAUCCCACGGCUCAACCGUGGAACUGCCUUUGAUACUGCUUAGCUUGAAUCCGGGAGAGGGUGGCGGAAUUCCAGGUGUAGGAGUGAAAUCCGUAGAUAUCUGGAGGAACAUCAGUGGCGAAGGCGGCCACCUGGACCGGUAUUGACGCUGAGGUGCGAAAGCGUGGGGAGCAAACAGG
rnacentral:rRNA from 1 species